UGGAUCCAGACUUUGAUUAUGGCUCAGGAUGAACGCUAGCUACAGGCUUAACACAUGCAAGUCGAGGGGAAACGACAUCGAAAGCUUGCUUUUGAUGGGCGUCGGCCGGCGCACGGGUGAGUAACGCGUAUCCAACCUGCCCACCACUUGGGGAUAACCUUGCGAAAGUAAGACUAAUACCCAAUGAUAUCUCUAGAAGACAUCUGAAAGAGAUUAAAGAUUUAUCGGUGAUGGAUGGGGAUGCGUCUGAUUAGCUUGUUGGCGGGGUAACGGCCCACCAAGGCAACGAUCAGUAGGGGUUCUGAGAGGAAGGUCCCCCACAUUGGAACUGAGACACGGUCCAAACUCCUACGGGAGGCAGCAGUGAGGAAUAUUGGUCAAUGGACGAGAGUCUGAACCAGCCAGGUAGCGUGCAGGAUGACGGCCCUAUGGGUUGUAAACUGCUUUUAUAAGGGAAUAAAGUGAGUCUCGUGAGACUUUUUGCAUGUACCUUAUGAAUAAGGACCGGCUAAUUCCGUGCCAGCAGCCGCGGUAAUACGGAAGGUCCGGGCGUUAUCCGGAUUUAUUGGGUUUAAAGGGAGCGUAGGCCGGAGAUUAAGCGUGUUGUGAAAUGUAGACGCUCAACGUCUGCACUGCAGCGCGAACUGGUUUCCUUGAGUACGCACAAAGUGGGCGGAAUUCGUGGUGUAGCGGUGAAGUGCUUAGAUAUCACGAAGAACUCCGAUUGCGAAGGCAGCUCACUGGAGCGCAACUGACGCUGAAGCUCGAAAGUGCGGGUAUCGAACAGGAUUAGAUACCCUGGUAGUCCGCACGGUAAACGAUGGAUGCCCGCUGUUGGUCUGAAUAGGUCAGCGGCCAAGCGAAAGCAUUAAGCAUCCCACCUGGGGAGUACGCCGGCAACGGUGCAACUCAAAUGAAUUGACGGA
rnacentral:rRNA from 1 species